CCCCCCCCCCCCCACCUGUUGAUAACUUGACCAAGAUGCCACUGGAGAUACUCAGGCAGAUCCUUUUGAGAGUGGUCUCAGAUGACGGAGACAUCGGCUUUAUGAGACUUUCUCUCACGUGCAAGCUUUUUAGGGACAUUGUCAGAGAGACAAAAUUCAAAGAAGAGGCCCACUUCAUGUGGCUAGACAGUGUCGUGAACUGGAGUGCAUUUUCUGUAGGAUACAGACAGGAGUUCCGGGUGCCGUAUUCACUGACCCAGUGCCUAUGGUGCCAUGAAACAUUCAAAGACUGCCCACCUGGCUAUGUUGGGAAUGGCAGGAGGGGAGUCCUGCGUGGAUUUUAUUCCUACAAAGACUUUGAGGGCUACUGCUCAGUUGAUUGUUUUAUUAAAGAUGGAGGUGAAUUUUAGAAUGUGUAGGUGCAGAUGCAGUUUCUUUUUUCUUUCUCAUGUGUCAUGUUUAUAGUUGUAAUCUCUCUUUCUCUCUUUCUCUCUCUCUCUCUCUCUCUCUCUCUCUCUCUCAAUCAUAUAUGUACACA